rnacentral:rRNA from 1 species
AAUAGAUACCCGGGUAGUCCACGCCGUAAACGAUGAGUGCUAAGUGUUAGAGGGUUUCCGCCCUUUAGUGCUGCAGCUAACGCAUUAAGCACUCCGCCUGGGGAGUACGGCCGCAAGGCUGAAACUCAAAGGAAUUGACGGGGGCCCGCACAAGCGGUGGAGCAUGUGGUUUAAUUCGAAGCAACGCGAAGAACCUUACCAGGUCUUGACAUCCUCUGCCAACCCUAGAGAUAGGGCGUUCCCCUUCGGGGGACAGAGUGACAGGUGGUGCAUGGUUGUCGUCAGCUCGUGUCGUGAGAUGUUGGGUUAAGUCCCGCAACGAGCGCAACCCUUGAUCUUAGUUGCCAGCAUUCAGUUGGGCACUCUAAGGUGACUGCCGGUGACAAACCGGAGGAAGGUGGGGAUGACGUCAAAUCAUCAUGCCCCUUAUGACCUGGGCUACACACGUGCUACAAUGGAUGGUACAAAGAGCAGCGAACCCGCGAGGGUAAGCCAAUCUCAUAAAGCCAUUCUCAGUUCGGAUUGUAGG